UGGUCUAUAUUCUGAGAAUACACUUUAUUUUCCAAGAUAAACCCGACCUUUGAUGCAGGAGAACUCACUGACAUGGGCCCGAAUAUAUAGGAUUUUUAAUGAUUUUGGUGUCUAGAUAGAUGAAUUACAAGCUUAAUGUAUGAAUUCUGGGAGAUGCGCAGUUUGACACUUUCAAGGUAAGUUUUUUACUGCCAAUUUUUUUCCUUCAUUUUCAUGCAAAAUAGGCAAUAUUCUGCACUAGAUCUUCCAUGUAGGCUUGCUUUCAGUCUUGAAUUCUCAUAUGUAAUGCUUGAUACACAUGUAGUCCAUAUUACAUUUGAACUCUCUCUCUCUUGUGAGCCCAUGCUUUUAAUCAUUUGAAAGGAGAUUAUGUUUUAUUAUAUAAAUGAACCAAUGAGUCAUCUACCAUAAUUAGGGAUAGAACAAUCAUCAUUAAGCAUCAUAAUUGAUAUUACUCCAUGCUUUAUGAGUAGGCCUUGAACGUAAGUAAGUACCAUUAAUGAUUGAAAAUAUAGAAGAAAACAAAUUGAUGAAAACAUGUCUGAUGUUGACACCAAAUAAACAUUCAUCCAAA